rnacentral:rRNA from 1 species
GACGAACGCUGGCGGCGUGCCUAAUACAUGCAAGUAGAACGCUGAAGGAGGAACUUGCUUCUCUGGAUGAGUUGCGAACGGGUGAGUAACGCGUAGGUAACCUGCCUGGUAGCGGGGGAUAACUAUUGGAAACGAUAGCUAAUACCGCAUAAGAGUAGAUGUUGCAUGACAUUUGCUUAAAAGGUGCAAUUGCAUCACUACCAGAUGGACCUGCGUUGUAUUAGCUAGUUGGUGGGGUAACGGCUCACCAAGGCGACGAUACAUAGCCGACCUGAGAGGGGGAUCGGCCACACUGGGACUGAGACACGGCCCAGACUCCUACGGGAGGCAGCAGUAGGGAAUCUUCGGCAAUGGACGGAAGUCUGACCGAGCAACGCCGCGUGAGUGAAGAAGGUUUUCGGAUCGUAAAGCUCUGUUGUAAGAGAAGAACGAGUGUGAGAGUGGAAAGUUCACACUGUGACGGUAUCUUACCAGAAAGGGACGGCUAACUACGUG